GACGAACGCUGGCGGCGUGCUUAACACAUGCAAGUCGAGCGGUAAGGCCCUUUCGGGGGUACGCGAGCGGCGAACGGGUGAGUAACACGUGGGUGACCUGCCCUCAGCUCUGGGAUAAGCCUGGGAAACCGGGUCUAAUACUGGAUAUGACUCCAUGACGCAUGUUGUGGGGUGGAAAGCCUUGUGCGGCUGAGGAUGGGCCCGCGGCCUAUCAGCUUGUUGGUGGGGUGANGGCCUACCAAGGCGACGACGGGUAGCCGGCCUGAGAGGGCGACCGGCCACACUGGGACUGAGACACGGCCCAGACUCCUACGGGAGGCAGCAGUGGGGAAUCUUGCGCAAUGGGCGAAAGCCUGACGCAGCGACGCCGCGUGAGGGAUGAAGGCC
rnacentral:rRNA from 1 species